rnacentral:lncRNA from 1 species
GGGUCUGGGUCUUAAGAGUGGAGCCCCUCAGGAGUGGGCUUGGUGUCCAAUAAAACAUGACCUUCCACCAAGGGAGGGCACACCUGAAAGGGCAACAACGGGAUAUCUGAGAGGAGUUCCGGUGAGGAUCCAGAAUCGUUAGUGAAGCAGAAGCCAGAGGCCGCGAAUCAGACCAAACGACUCAAUGCAAAGAACACUUGCAAGCAAAGCUGUUUGGACAGAAGGGUGCACUGUGGACAGACACACCGCAACUUCCAUGGAAAUGAGAUUGUUGAGUAGCUACAGGGGUGCCUCUGACUUAUAUCAGAAUCAAAUGAGAUAAAUCUGGGGUCACACGGUUUAUAUAACUGAGUUAAGAAACAUAUUCUACUGUAGAUGGGGUUUCUGGUGAGAUGCCCACUAAAUCACAGGUUAGUGCUGGGAAGAAAGAUCGGCCACAUCCGAAGGUCAUAGACACUCGGGUCUUAAGCACAAUUAAUUGCUAUGUUAACAUUCCCAUUCAAGAUCUCUCUAUAAAAGGGAUAUUAUCUCUAGAGGAGCAACCUCCACAUCAAAUAUUAGUUGUGAGGAUUUCUUGACUCUGAGCCUGGCAAGAGGCUUCAGCCAGACACUAGGUGAAGAGUGUCUUCCCCUUCCCACACCUCCUUGCAGUUCUGUGUUUCUACACUGAGUCACAGGACAGUGUAGACAGUCUGCUAUUCACAGGGCAGGGAUGCCAGGGUGGAAAGUAGCUGUCUGAAGAAGUUAUGGGUCAAAGAGUCCCAGAUCUUUGUGGAGUGACUGGGACAGGGGGAUAGCUGCCACUUAAAUAGCAAGGUCAGUGUUUCGUCAAGAGGUCCCUUCUACAGAGCCCCGGCCUCAUCCUUCACCUAUGUCUCUCUGAACAAUUGGGAACUAAAUGGCUGCUGCUGCAGGGCUUUGAUGUUUCUGACUCUCCCAAGACACCGGGACACUUCUCUAAACCAUCGCAAGCACCUCGACGUUGACCCAAAAGACACAGCCCAGUGAUUCUGGACUUCCUGAUCUGCUUUCAGGCUGCUGAAGGCCAGGACACUCAGAACCAUGUGACCAGACUUUUAUGUGCUCAAGACUGUUAAUCUCCUUAAUUGAAAUUGAUUGGCCUCCUGGGACCCAGCUCUGCCCUGGCCCUGAGCUUCAGCAGGAGCCAAACCCGAAAAGGCACACAGUUACAAAACAGCUUGGGAGCAACAAAAGCACCUGAUAAAGAAAGAAAGCACGCAUACAAAGUUAGACAUGGUGGCACAUGUCCCAGCACUCCAGAAGCAAAGAGAAGGAACGAGAGUUCAAGACCAGCCAGGACCAAAACAGCAAGUUCCAAACCAUGCCGAGGCCCCUGGUGGAUUCAAGGGCUUGGAUUUGAGUCUCAGGACUGCAAAAUAAAUAAACAAUGUG